rnacentral:rRNA from 1 species
GAUGAACGCUGGCGGCGUGCCUAAUACAUGCAAGUCGAGCGAACAGACGAGUAGCUUGCUCCUCUGACUGUAGCGGCGGACAGGUGAGUAACACGUGGAUAACCUACCUAUAAGACUUGGAUAACUUCGGGAUACCGGAGCGAAUACUGGGUAAUAUAUUGAACCUCUUGGUUCAAUAGUGAAAGACGGUUUUGCUUUCACUUGUAGAUGGAUCCGCGCCGCAUUAGCUAGUUGGUAAGGUAACGGCUUACCAAGGCAACGAUGCGUAGCCGACCUGAGAGGGUGAUCGGCCACAACGGAACUGAGACAAGGUCCAGACUACUACGGGAGGCAGCAGUAGGGAAUCUUCCGCCAUGGGCGAAAGCCUGACGGAGCAACGACGCGUGAGUGAUGAAGGUCUUCGGAUCGUAAAAAUCUGUUAUUAGGGAAGAACAAAUGUGUAAGUAACUAUGCACGUCUUGACGGUACCUAAUCAGAAAGCCACGGCUAACUACGUG